rnacentral:rRNA from 1 species
UUUGAUUAUGGCUCAGUAUUGAACGCUGGCGGCAGGCUUAACACAUGCAAGUCGAGCGGAAACGAAGGUAGCUUGCUACCAGACGUCGAGCGGCGGACGGGUGAGUAAUGCUUAGGAAUCUACCGAGUAGUGGGGGAUAGCCAUUGGAAACGAUGAUUAAUACCGCAUAUAUCCUACGGGGGAAAGCAGGGGACCUUCGGGCCUUGCGCUAUUCGAUGAGCCUGAGUGAGAUUAGCUAGUUGGUGGGAUAAAGGCCUACCAAGGCGACGAUCUCUAGCUGGUCUGAGAGGAUGAUCAGCCACACUGGGACUGAGACACGGCCCAGACUCCUACGGGAGGCAGCAGUGGGGAAUAUUGCACAAUGGACGAAAGUCUGAUGCAGCCAUGCCGCGUGUGUGAAGAAGGCCUUCGGGUUGUAAAGCACUUUCAGCGAGGAGGAAAGGUCAGUAAGUAAUAUUUGCUGGCUGUGACGUUACUCGCAGAAGAAGCACCGGCUAAUUUAGUGCCAGCAGCCGCGGUAAUACUAAAGGUGCAAGCGUUAAUCGGAAUUACUGGGCGUAAAGCGCGCGUAGGUGGUUUGUUAAGUUGGAUGUGAAAGCCCAGGGCUCAACCUUGGAACUGCAUUCAAAACUGACUCACUAGAGUACGAGAGAGGUUAGUGGAAUUUCCUGUGUAGCGGUGAAAUGCGUAGAGAUGGGAAGGAACACCAGUGGCGAAGCGACUGACUGGCUCGA